GAUGAACGCUGGCGGCGUGCCUAAUACAUGCAAGUCGAGCGAACAGACGAGGAGCUUGCUCCUUCGACGUUAGCGGCGGACGGGUGAGUAACACGUAGGUAACCUACCUAUAAGACUGGGAUAACUUCGGGAAACCGGAGCUAAUACCGGAUAAUAUUUCGAACCGCAUGGUUCGAUAGUGAAAGAUGGCUUUGCUAUCACUUAUAGAUGGGCCUGCGCCGUAUUAGCUAGUUGGUAAGGUAACGGCUUACCAAGGCAACGAUACGUAGCCGACCUGAGAGGGUGAUCGGCCACACUGGAACUGAGACACGGUCCAGACUCCUACGGGAGGCAGCAGUAGGGAAUCUUCCGCAAUGGGCGAAAGCCUGACGGAGCAACGCCGCGUGAGUGAUGAAGGUCUUCGGAUCGUAAAACUCUGUUAUUAGGGAAGAACAAACGUGUAAGUAACUGUGCACGUCUUGACGGUGCCUAAUCAGAAAGCCACGGCUAACUACGUG
rnacentral:rRNA from 1 species